AGUGAACGCUGGCGGUAGGCCUAACACAUGCAAGUCGAACGGCAGCACAGUAAGAGCUUGCUCUUACGGGUGGCGAGUGGCGGACGGGUCAGGAAUACAUCGGAAUCUACUUUUUCGUGGGGGAUAACGUAGGGAAACUUACGCUAAUACCGCAUACGACCUACGGGUGAAAGCAGGGGAUCUUCGGACCUUGCGCGAUUGAAUGAGCCGAUGUCGGUUUAGCUAGUUGGCGGGGUAAAGGCCCACCAAGGCGACGAUCCGUAGCUGGUCUGAGAGGAUGAUCAGCCACACUGGAACUGAGACACGGUCCAGACUCCUACGGGAGGCAGCAGUGGGGAAUAUUGGACAAUGGGCGCAAGCCUGAUCCAGCCAUACCGCGUGGGUGAAGAAGGCCUUCGGGUUGUAAAGCCCUUUUGUUGGGAAAGAAAAGCAGCAGGUUAAUACCCCGCUGUUCUGACGGUACCCAAAGAAUAAGCACCGGCUAACUUCGUG
rnacentral:rRNA from 1 species